rnacentral:rRNA from 1 species
AGUCAUAUGCUUGUCUCAAAGAUUAAGCCAUGCAUGUCUCAGUACAAGCCGAAUUAAGGUGAAACCGCGAAAGGCUCAUUAAAUCAGUUAUGGUUCCUUAGAUCGUACCCACAUUUACUUGGAUAACUGUGGUAAUUCUAGAGCUAAUACAUGCAAACAGAGCUCCGACCGGAGACGGGAGGAGUGCUUUUAUUAGAUCAAAACCAAUCGGCGGCGGGCGCGUUCGCGCGUCCGUUCGCCGCUCAACCUGGUGACUCUGAAUAACUUUCCGCUGAUCGCACGGUCUCGCACCGGCGACGCAUCUUUCAAAUGUCUGCCUUAUCAACUGUCGAUGGUAGGUUCUGCGCCUACCAUGGUCGUAACGGGUAACGGGGAAUCAGGGUUCGAUUCCGGAGAGGGAGCCUGAGAAACGGCUACCACAUCCAAGGAAGGCAGCAGGCGCGCAAAUUACCCACUCCCGGCACGGGGAGGUAGUGACGAAAAAUAACGAUACGGGACUCAUCCGAGGCCCCGUAAUCGGAAUGAGUACACUUUAAAUCCUUUAACGAGGAUCAAUUGGAGGGCAAGUCUGGUGCCAGCAGCCGCGGUAACUCCAGCUCCAAUAGCGUAU